rnacentral:rRNA from 1 species
GACGAAGGGGGCUAGCGUUGCUCGGAAUUACUGGGCGUAAAGGGCGCGUAGGCGGCUAUUCAAGUCAGAGGUGAAAGCCCGGGGCUCAACCCCGGAACUGCCUUUGAAACUAGGUAGCUAGAAUCUUGGAGAGGUCAGUGGAAUUCCGAGUGUAGAGGUGAAAUUCGUAGAUAUUCGGAAGAACACCAGUGGCGAAGGCGACUGACUGGACAAGUAUUGACGCUGAGGUGCGAAAGCGUGGGGAGCAAACAGG